GUAAAGUUUUAAAUUGGCUUUAAUACAGCUUUAAUGCUUUAUUGGAGAGAAAAUACCGAAGCAGUCAUCUUCAUUUUCAUCACCAAGAGAAAUAAAAGGUUCUUCAUCUCCUGAAGUGCUUGAAGAGGAAGUUGCAACAGAUGUCUCUGACCUUGUGGCGAAAAGUUGAUGCAUAACAUUGAAGUAUUCAUCUUCAGUCUUGGCGCUGGCAAGGAGAGACUGGGCUUUUGUUUUUUGGCUCAAGAAAGUUUGGUGGGCUUUGGAUUGUUUAAUGGUCGGUUGAAGAAAUCCUUUGGCAGAGAGCCAAUUUCGGACCAAAUUGUCAGUCAAUUUUGACUGUUCGUCAAAUUUUGACCACCAUUUUACUUUAAAGGUUCUUUGAAGGAUAAUUUGGGCAUCUUGAGUGUGGUAAU
rnacentral:lncRNA from 1 species